GGAGUCUGGUCCGUGUCUCAGUACCAGUGUGGGGGACCUUCCUCUCAGAACCCCUACUGAUCGAAGGACCGGUGGGCCGUUACCCCGCCGGCUUCCUAAUCAGCCGCAUCCCCAUCCCUCGGCGAUGAAUCUUUACUCCUCUUCAGAUGUCCUCGAAGGAGACCAUAGGGCAUUAAUCCGAUUUUCACCGGGCUAUGCCCUACUAAGGGGAAGGUUGGAUACGCGUUACUCACCCGUGCGCCGGUCGCCAGCAACAAUAGCAAGCUAUCGUCCUGCUGCCCCUCGACUUGCAUGUGUUAAGCCUGUAGCUAGCGUUCAUC
rnacentral:rRNA from 1 species